GAUGAACGCUGGCGGCGUGCCUAAUACAUGCAAGUCGAGCGAACAGAUAAGGAGCUUGCUCCUUUGACGUUAGCGGCGGACGGGUGAGUAACACGUGGGUAACCUACCUAUAAGACUGGGAUAACUUCGGGAAACCGGAGCUAAUACCGGAUAACAUUUGGAACCGCAUGGUUCUAAAGUGAAAGAUGGUUUUGCUAUCACUUAUAGAUGGACCCGCGCCGUAUUAGCUAGUUGGUAAGGUAACGGCUUACCAAGGCAACGAUACGUAGCCGACCUGAGAGGGUGAUCGGCCACACUGGAGCUGAGACACGGUCCAGACUCCUACGGGAGGCAGCAGUAGGGAAUCUUCCGCAAUGGGCGAAAGCCUGACGGAGCAACGCCGCGUGAGUGAUGAAGGGUUUCGGCUCGUAAAACUCUGUUAUUAGGGAAGAAAAAAUGUGUAAGUAACUGUGCACGUCUUGACGGUACCUAAUCAGAAAGCAACGGCUAACUACGUG
rnacentral:rRNA from 1 species